UACAGAGGGUGCAAGCGUUAUUCGGAAUUACUGGGCGUAAAGCGCGCGUAGGCUGUUCGAUAAGUCUGGUGUGAAAUCCCUGGGCUCAACCCAGGAAGUGCAUUGGAUACUGCCGAACUAGAGUAUGGAAGAGGAGAGUGGAAUUCCCGGUGUAGAGGUGAAAUUCGUAGAUAUCGGGAGGAACAACAGUGGCGAAGGCGACUCUCUGGGCCAUUACUGACGCUGAGGCGCGAAAGCGUGGGGAGCAAACAGGAUUAGAUACCCUGGUAGUCCACGCCGUAAACUAUGGAAACUAGACGCUGGACGGUCUUACCCGUUCAGUGUCGUAGCUAACGCGUUAAGUUUCCCGCCUGGGAAGUACGGUCGCAAGAUUAAA
rnacentral:rRNA from 1 species